rnacentral:rRNA from 1 species
UACGGAGGGUGCAAGCGUUAAUCGGAUUUAUUGGGCGUAAAGGGCAUGUAGGCGGGGUAGAAAGUUAGAUGUGAAAGCCUGGGGCUCAACUCCAGAUCCGCAUCUAAAACUUCUGCUCUACUAGAGGAUGGAAGGAGAAAAGGGAAUUCCACGUGUAGCGGUGAAAUGCGUAGAUAUGUGGAAGAACACCAGUGGCGAAGGCGCUUUUCUAUUUUAUUCCUGACGCUGAGAUGCGAAAGCAAGGGGAGCAAACAGG